rnacentral:rRNA from 1 species
CGCAAGGUUAAAACUCAAAUGAAUUGACGGGGGCCCGCACAAGCGGUGGAGCAUGUGGUUUAAUUCGAUGCAACGCGAAGAACCUUACCUGGUCUUGACAUCCACAGAACUUUCCAGAGAUGGAUUGGUGCCUUCGGGAACUGUGAGACAGGUGCUGCAUGGCUGUCGUCAGCUCGUGUUGUGAAAUGUUGGGUUAAGUCCCGCAACGAGCGCAACCCUUAUCCUUUGUUGCCAGCGGUUAGGCCGGGAACUCAAAGGAGACUGCCAGUGAUAAACUGGAGGAAGGUGGGGAUGACGUCAAGUCAUCAUGGCCCUUACGACCAGGGCUACACACGUGCUACAAUGGCAUAUACAAAGAGAAGCGACCUCGCGAGAGCAAGCGGACCUCAUAAAGUAUGUCGUAGUCCGGAUUGGAGUCUGCAACUCGACUCCAUGAAGUCGGAAUCGCUAGUAAUCGUAGAUCAGAAUGCUACGGUGAAUACGUUCCCGGGCCUUGUACACACCGCCCGUCACACCAUGGGAGUGGGUUGCAAAAGAAGUAGGUAGCUUAACCUUCGGGAGGGCGCUUACCACUUUGUGAUUCAUGACUGG